rnacentral:rRNA from 1 species
UACGGAGGGUGCAAACGUUGCUCGGAAUCAUUGGGCGUAAAGCGCACGUAGGCGGUCCGUUAAGUCGGAUGUGAAAGCCCCGGGCUCAACCCGGGAAGUGCAUACGAAACUGGCGGACUUGAAUAUGGAAGAGGGUCGCGGAAUUCCCGGUGUAGAGGUGAAAUUCGUAGAUAUCGGGAGGAACACCAGUGGCGGAAGGCGGCGACCUGGGCCAAUAUUGACGCUGAGGUG